CCCGUUAAAGGGUGAUGGCGUGCCUUUUGUAGAAUGAACCGGCGAGUUACUGUAUGGAGCGAGGUUAAGCAGGAUAUGCGGAGCCGAAGCGAAAGCGAGUCUUAAGAGGGCGAAAGUUGCAUGCAGUAGACCCGAAACCGGGUGAUCUAGCCAUGACCAGGUUGAAGUUGGGGUAAAACCCGAUGGAGGACCGAACCGACCCCCGUUGAAACGUUGGCGGAUGAGUUGUGGCUAGGGGUGAAAUUCCAAUCGAACCCGGAGAUAGCUGGUUCUCCCCGAAAUAGCUUUAGGGCUAGCGUCGAGGUAAAGAGUUGCGUGAAGGUAGAGCACUGAAUAUGUGAUGGCCCCAUCUCGGGGUACUGAGCAUAAUCAAACUGCGAAUGUCACGGAAACAUACUCGGCAGUCAGACAGCGGGUGAUAAGGUCCGUUGUCAAGAGGGAAACAGCCCAGACCAUCAGCUAAGGUCCCAAAAUGUAUGCUAAGUGGAAAAGGAUGUGGAGAUGUACAGACAACUAGGAGGUUGGCUCAGAAGCAGCCAUCCUUUAAAGAGUGCGUAACAGCUCACUAGUCGAAUGACUCUGCGCCGAUAAUUUACCGGGGCUAAGCAUACUACCGAAGCUAUGGAUCCUGAGGGAUGGUAGGGGAGCGUUCCAUGAACGGAGAAGCGCGAUCGAGAGGACGCGUGGAGAUCAUGGAAGAGAGAAUGCCGGUGUGAGUAGCGGAACGUGGGUGAGAAUCCCACGCACCGAAAACCCAAGGUUUCCAGAGGAAGGUUCGUCCGCUCUGGGUAAGUCGGGACCUAAGGCGAGGCCGAGAGGCGUAGUCGAUGGACAACAGGUAGAGAUUCCUGUACUCAUAUAUAUGUGAAGGAAUGACGGAGAGAGGAAGCUGCAGCCAGCGGCUGGAAGAGCUGGUGCAAGCGAGAUAUCGGGAUGGCAGGCAAAUCCACCAUCCGAAACGAGAAGGCGUGAAGCGUACGGAAAGCUAAGGCGAGUACGGAAGGCAGUGGAGGAGCUUCCAAGAAAAGUUUCUAACGAAAGUAUAUGUGACCCGUACCGAAAAUGGACACACAUGGGUGAGGAGAGAAUCCUAAGGUGAGCGAGAGAACUAUAGCUAAGGAACUCUGCAAAAUGACUCCGUAACUUAGGGAGAAGGAGUGCUCAUAGAGAUAUGAGCCGCAGUGAAACGGCCCAAGCGACUGUUUACCAAAAACACAGCUCUCUGCUAAGCCGCAAGGCGAAGUAUAGGGGGUGACGCCUGCCCGGUGCUGGAAGGUUAAGGGGAGGGGUUAACGCAAGUGAAGCCCUGAACUGAAGCCCCAGUAAACGGCGGCCGUAACUAUAACGGUCCUAAGGUAGCGAAAUUCCUUGUCAGGUAAGUUCUGACCCGCACGAAAGGCGUAACGAUUUGGGCGCUGUCUCAGCUGUAGACUCGGUGAAGUCUUAGUACCUGUGAAGAUGCAGGUUACCCGCGACUAGACGGAAAGACCCCAUGGAGCUUCACUGCAGGUUGAUAUUGGGAUUUGAUGCAGCAUGUACAGGAUAGGUAGGAGGCAAAGAGAUGGAUACGCCAGUAUUCAAGGAGCCGCUGUUGGGAUACUACCCCUGUUGUAUUGGAUUUCUAACCGGACGACGUAAAGCCGUUGACGGGACAGUGUCAGUCGGGCAGUUUGACUGGGGCGGUCGCCUCCCAAAGAGUAACGGAGGCGCCCAAAGAUACCCUCAGCUUGGAUGGAAACCAAGCGCAGAGUGCAAAGGCAAAAGGGUGUUUGACUGCGAGACCCACAAGUCGAGCAGGGACGAAAGUCGGGCUUAGUGAUCCGGCGGUGCUGAAUGGAAAGGCCGUCGCUCAACGGAUAAAAGCUACCCUGGGGAUAACAGGCUGAUCUCCCCCAAGAGUUCACAUCGACGGGGAGGUUUGGCACCUCGAUGUCGGCUCAUCGCAUCCUGGAGCUGAAGUCGGUUCCAAGGGUUGGGCUGUUCGCCCAUUAAAGCGGUACGCGAGCUGGGUUCAGAACGUCGUGAGACAGUUCGGUCCCUAUCUGUCGUGGGCGCAGGAAAUUUGAGAAGAGCUGUCCUCAGUACGAGAGGACCGGGAUGGACGCAUCAAUGGUGGACCAGUUGUCACGCCAGUGGCAUAGCUGGGUAGCUAAAUGCGGAAGGGAUAAACGCUGAAGGCAUCUAAGUGUGAAACCCACUUCAAGAUGAGAUUUCCCAUUGC
rnacentral:rRNA from 1 species